AGACAGCAGCCGCCGCGGUAAUACGGAGGGUGCAAGCGUUAUCCGGAUUUAUUGGGUUUAAAGGGUCCGUAGGCGGACUUAUAAGUCAGUGGUGAAAGCCUGUCGCUUAACGAUAGAACUGCCAUUGAUACUGUAAGUCUUGAGUAUAUUUGAGGUAGCUGGAAUAAGUAGUGUAGCGGUGAAAUGCAUAGAUAUUACUUAGAACACCAAUUGCGAAGGCAGGUUACCAAGAUAUAACUGACGCUGAGGGACGAAAGCGUGGGUAGCGAACAGGAUUAGAUACCCGUGUAGUCCCUGUCUCUUAUAC
rnacentral:rRNA from 1 species